AUUGAACGCUGGCGGCAUGCCUUACACAUGCAAGUCGAACGGCAGCGCGGGAGCAAUCCUGGCGGCGAGUGGCGAACGGGUGAGUAAUGCAUCGGAACGUGCCCGGUCGUGGGGGAUAACGCAGCGAAAGCUGCGCUAAUACCGCACACGAUCUGAGGAUGAAAGCGGGGGACCGUAAGGCCUCGCGCGAUCGGAGCGGCCGAUGUCAGAUUAGGUAGUUGGUGGGGUAAAGGCUCACCAAGCCAACGAUCUGUAGCUGGUCUGAGAGGACGACCAGCCACACUGGGACUGAGACACGGCCCAGACUCCUACGGGAGGCAGCAGUGGGGAAUUUUGGACAAUGGGCGCAAGCCUGAUCCAGCAAUGCCGCGUGCAGGAAGAAGGCCUUCGGGUUGUAAACUGCUUUUGUACGGAGCGAUAAGGUCUUCCCUAAUACGGGAGGCUGAUGACGGUACCGUAAGAAUAAGCACCGGCUAACUACGUGCCAGCAGCCGCCGUAAUAC
rnacentral:rRNA from 1 species